CCAAACUUGGUCAUUUAGAGGAAGUAAAAGUCGUAACAAGGUCUCCGUUGGUGAACCAGCGGAGGGAUCAUUAGAGAGUUGCAAGACUCCCAACACACUCGUGAACACUACCCGUCCCGUUGCUUCGGCGGGCGGCCCCGGGGAGGGGUCGCAGCCCGCGAGGGCGCCCGCCGGGGAUAUUUGACACUGUAAUUUAGGCCUCUCUGAGCACUGAGAAACACCUCAAAACUUUCAACAACGGAUCUCUUGGUUCUGGCAUCGAUGAAGAACGCAGC
rnacentral:misc_RNA from 1 species